AACGAACGCUGGCGGCGUGCUUAACACAUGCAAGUCGAACGAUAAAGAAAAGAAUUGAAGCUUCGGCAGAAAUUCAGUUCGGAUUAGUGGCAGACGGGAUAGUAACGCGUGAGCAACCGACCUCUUACAAAGGGAUAGCCUCGGUAAACCGGGAUUAAUACCAUAUAACAUUGCGACGAAGCAUUUCGAUGCAAUCAAAGCUACGGCGGGAAGAGAUGGGCUCGCGUCCCAUUAACCAGAUGGUGAGGUAACGGCUUACCAUAGUAACGAUGGCUACACUGGAUGAGAGAGUGAGUCGUCACACCGGAACUGAGCCGCGGUCCAGACUAUUAGGGGAGGCAGCAGUGCCGAAUAUAGCCCAACCGAGGGAAUUAUGAUGGAGUGACGCUGCGUGAGUCAUGAAGGAAUUAGAUAAGUACAGCUCUGUUAUAUGGGAAGAAAAUGACGGUACCCUAGGAGUAAGCACCGGCUAACUUCGUG
rnacentral:rRNA from 1 species